ACAAAUUAACUAAUUAAUUUUUUUAAAUACCUGUUUACGAGGGUUGUUGAAUUCUGAUGUUAGAAGCCAACGCCACUCGUACUCCCUGUACAAGAACUCAACAGGGGUACCAGAACGUGCGUUCCCGUGCGUAGUCCAGUGGGUCCGCAACUCGUUCUUCCAUUCCUUGUACCUACAGAUACAACAAAAUAUUAGAAAUAUUAUUAAUAUCACAUGCAAUUUGUUUUUUCAUUAACUUCCCAACGUACCUUCCCCCAUGCACAACGUCCGCCCAGCUGCUCUUCAGGUGCUCGGGAACUUCAAACCACACAUGCAUUUAACCGUUUAUUAGUUUAGUUUUUCAAAAAAUCAACAAUGUAAUACAUAAUAUUAUUGAGGCAUUUUGUAAACUCACCGACAUCGCGUUGUGGACCAUAUCCUUAACCUCCUACGGGACCUCGCCCCAGUCUGACUACAACAUAGGGACUCUAUCCCUAAUGAGCGCUCCCACGCGGCCGGAGUACAUCCUCGACUUCCCGCCCGAUACUAUGUCGCCAUCCCCGUCAGUACGGAUGACGAUCCUCCCUGAGGUACCGACCAUCUUCUCGAGAGCCUUCCCUGUGACGGGGCCUCUCUUCUUCUUUGCCGGCUUCGCUCCGACGGUGCCUAUCACAUGAUAAACCAAAUUGAUUAUUAAAAUCGGAGAAUUAUAAGAAAACAAAUCAUUCAUCUUUUAUUACCUGAGGGCGAUGCGGCGGACGCGACAGAUUCCAUCUCUGUCACCGAUGAUGAUACCCUCGCGGAAAUAAGAGGCGUAUAAAAAGACACGAACUGGUACGCCGCUGAUGAAGCCACUGGUGGGGGCAGUGGAUAAAUCGACGCCCCUGAGCCAUCGACUGCAGGUAUUGCCGGUAUUAUCCGCGGAAGGAACAGAUGAGGCGGCGGCAUCUGUACCCCAGAUGACCCACCAUCCGAAGUAGUAGGACUCGGAGUGGGCGCCCGGUGUAUCUCAGGCAUACAGGGUGCAGACACCUCCGUCUGGGUCUGAGGCCACAACUGCCUCGAGGAAUGAGGGACGCGCGGCUGCCUCGAUGACUGGGGCACCUCCGGCUGCCUCGAUGAAGGGGGCACCUCCGGCGGCCUCUACGCCGUCUCCAGAAGGGCCGCACGUCUGGCUGUCAUGAGGCCCCGAAACAACGUUUGAGAGUUGCUAGAGGUUCCCUCAGACGAUUCGGACCUUUGGCCCUUCGAACCUUUCGUCGAUCUAAAAUUACCACUCAUCCUGUUUAAAAUAUUAAUUUGAAUCAAGGCUGAGAAAGAAAAUCAUGAAACUUCAUAACGACAAACCACAUGUAGGUCAUACACAAAAUCAAUAGGCAUCAAAAAUAUCCACAAUAUUCCAACAAAACCAUAUAUUAAAACUUGCAUAAUCCAAUAUAUUAAAACUUGCAAAAUCAAUCGGCGUCGAUCAUAGUUUUUUUAUUUGGUCCUAUCAAAUUAAUGCAAAUUUUUGUCAAAACACCAACUCAAUCAUUCACACCAAUAACAUUCAAUAGAUGGAUUAUCACCAAAAUUCUCAAUAUAUUCAUCAUAAACCAAUCCACAAUAUCAAUAGCGAAUAAAAA
rnacentral:lncRNA from 1 species